GAGUAGAGGAAAAUGAAAUUGAAAGUGAGGUUCCCAGACUUUAAAAGAACGCCCUGCAGGCAGGGGACAGAACACCUGACACAGCGGCUGAGGCUUCAGGAUGCCUGUAGUGGUUGGUGGGGUCGUGGUUGUGGCCGUGCUGGUCGUGUGCGGCUUGAUCUAUAUGUACCACAACUCCUCUCCAUGCAGACCACAAAGGGAAUCAGCGUCCCCCAACCGAGAAGACACUGAGUAUCACAGGAGAGACGAGUGGACGUCAGCGAGCAUGCAAGUGGCACCUCGUUUGCAUAGUGAUACAAUGAGGUCUCGCACUCUGUGUAACAGAGGCUAAAGAUUCCAGAGGUGUCUCUCAUGGGGACCAAAAGAAGGCCUAACCUUCUGGACCUCCAGGACCCUGGUUGUCCCUGCCGUGACGACCUAGGGAAAUGUCCCCACCUGAUCACAUAAUCGACUCCACGCUCCAGUGCAGCCUGCGCUCUGCACUCAGCCCGCUGGAUCGCGCUGCUCCUCUAGUCAACGGAAGAUGGGGAUUUGAGAUGGAUUUUAACAGAGAGGCCUGUCUAGGGCACGUGCAUCUGUGUGGGGCACCCAUGCCUGGGGCCUUGGGGGACACCCUCCGUGUGCUCCCCUGCACGUGAGCUCGUGGGUUGGAGGAACAAAUAUCUAGACGCUUAACCCUAACUCUUCAGUCACUGCUGCAUUUAAUAAACACGAGUGAGCAUUUCA